UGGGGAAUUUUGCACAAUGGGGGAAACCCUGAUGCAGCGACGCCGCGUGAUUUAGAAGGCCUUCGGGUUGUAAAAAUCUUUUCUAUGGGAAGAAAAUGACAGUACCAUAAGAAAAAGCCCCGGCUAACUACGUGCCAGCAGCCGCGGUAAUACGUAGGGGGCUAGCGUUGUCCGGAAUCACUGGGCGUAAAGGGUUCGCAGGCGGAAAUGCAAGUCAGGUGUAAAAGGCAGUAGCUUAACUACUGUAAGCAUUUGAAACUGCAUAUCUUGAGAAGAGUAGAGGUAAGUGGAAUUUUUAGUGUAGCGGUGAAAUGCGUAGAUAUUAAAAAGAAUACCGGUGGCGAAGGCGACUUACUGGGCUCAUUCUGACGCUGAGGAACGAAAGCGUGGGUAGCAAACAGG
rnacentral:rRNA from 1 species